AGAGACGAGUCAGAGUUUGAUCCUGGCUCAGGACGAACGCUGGCGGCGUGCUUAACACAUGCAAGUCGAACGGAGUUCCUUGGAUAGAGGCUUCGGCCAAUUGAAUUGGAACUUAGUGGCGGACUGGUGAGUAACGCGUGAGGAACCUGCCUUUCAGAGGGGGACAACAGUUGGAAACGACUGCUAAUACCGCAUGACACAUUCGGGUGGCAUCACUUGAAUGUCAAAGAUUUUAUCGCUGAAAGAUGGCCUCGCGUCUGAUUAGCUAGUUGGUAGGGUAACGGCCUACCAAGGCGACGAUCAGUAGCCGGACUGAGAGGUUGACCGGCCACAUUGGGACUGAGAUACGGCCCAG
rnacentral:rRNA from 1 species